rnacentral:tRNA from 1 species
GGUCUAUUAGCUUAGUUGCUUAGAGAGUCAUGUUAAUAACUUGAAAGUCACAGGUUCGAUCUCUAGUGGCUUAUGGAUCUGUAUGAGGCUUACA